AGGGCGCCUGCGCGCCGCGCGCCCAGCUCGCUCCGCAACCAGUGGCCUGCCCCGCCCCGUUCCGCCCCGCAGCACGUGAUAGGCUAUCCCCGCCCCGCCGUGCUAUUAUUGGCGGAGACAUAGCGAUUUCUGGUCCUGUGAAGGCAGCUCUUGUUUUCCAUUGGGAAGCUUGGCGCCAACGUCAACUGUCACAUGACUUUCAGGACGCCGCUGGGCCUGCAAAAACUGCACGUGACGAGAAGUUCUUCGAACCAUUGGAAGCGUGGCCCAUCGCGCUACCUCCAGACCAGGAGGUGGGGCAGGGCUGCUUCAGCUCACUGGUCACGUGUUUCAGGAAGCCGCCUGUGAUCUGUUGGUACCCCCAGAACCGGCGCACAAUCGUUGCUCUUCAUUGGUCCGAAGACACCACUAAAAGACUUUUAUACUCUUUGCGGUUAUGGUUGGCCUCUCAUUGGCUGGAGGCUUCCCUUCCUGGGCCUGCGAUCUUGGGGCGCAACUUUAUUGGCCCGAACUUAGCCCCAGAACCUGGGGGCGUGGCUCAAAGAGCGGCAGUAAACGCCUGAGGAAGUGAGCGCUGUUGUGGGCACCGAGAGUAGAAAGAAAGGAUAGGCAACAGUUAGCCGCUCUACUCAAAGGAAUACCUCUGAAAAGUCAGAGUGAAGAUAUGCCAGGAAGAAAUGGAUUAAAACGUGGUUAAGAAUCUGCCUGCAAGGGACACAGGUUUGAUCCCUUACCCUGGAAGAUCCCACAUGCCACGGAGCAACUAAGUCUGUGUGCUCUGCAAUAAGAGAAGCCACUGCAACAAGAAGCCAGAGCUUCAAAAGGAAGAGUAGUCCCUGCUCACAAAAGUAGAGAAAGCCUGCGUGCACCGACGAAAACCCAGAGCAGCCAAAAAUAAAUUAAUAAAUAAAAUUUUAAAAAAUAAAUUAAAAAAACCUUUCAUAGACUUCCUUGGUGGUCCACUGGUUAGGACUCCAUGCUUCCAACAUAAGGGAUAUGAGUUGGUGAACUAAGAUCACACAUGACAUGUGGCACAACCAAGAAAAUUAAAAGAAAGAAAAAAAAAAAAACCCACAAAAACCCUUCAGCAAUUGAAUAUUGAUAGAUAUUAUCCCUGGGCUGAUUUUUUUCUUAUGAUUGAACUUAUCCAUCAUUCAAAAUCAUGCUUUCCAUGUCUCAAUUGUACACACAUUUCUAAGGUGAAACAUUACUUUUAGACCACCCAUUUGUUACCUUUGCUAAAAUUACUGGAUGAAUAAGGAAAAUAAUAAUAAUAAUAGUGAUAUCAAUAAUAGUGAUAGAAUAAAUCAGUCAUUUGACACUGCACUCAGUUCUUUAUAUAUGUUAUUUUUGUUUUUAUAUAUAUUGGAAAAUUCCAUGAACAGAAGAUCUUGGCUGGCUGCAGUCCAUGGGGUUGCAAAGAGUCAUCCACAACUGAAUAUGCACCCAUAUUGUCAUUAUUCUUAUGUCCCUAACACAAGAACAGUUCUAGUACAUAGUUGAUGCUCAGUAAGUAUUUGUUACAUGAAUGAGAUAGAAAUGGGGCUGGGAAACAUUGGUUUGGGCCAUGGUGUUGGGUAAAAAGGCCAGAAGGAAAGGUUUGCGUUCAGGAGAGUGGAAAUAGGUGGAGGAUUCCAAUAACUAAGCAAGGACCAUUGAUUUGUGAUUUGAUGUGAAUUUGGUUAAACUUAUAAAAGUAGGGGCAGAAAAUAGCUGAAUUCUUACAAAGAUGUUAUAUUUAGUAGUUCUGUUACAAGAAUUUUCAUUUUGGGGAAGAGUUCUUCUCUAAUCUGAAUUCCUUGCAUCAAUUAUUGUGUAAAUCAAGAAACUGUCAGUCAUUUUCUCAUCCGAUCCCCACCCUGUCCCGAUCCUUUGUCUGUGUCAAGGAUCCAGAAAUUGUGUGUGAUUGUGUGUGUGUGUGUUCCAAUAAACCUUAUUUACCAAAA